UACCACGUGCUAGACACCAUGCUAGGUCCUUGCACAUAGCACAGAACAAGCAGACAAGAUUUUGCUGGGCAGGACAAUCAAGCAAUAAGCAAGCACAUAAUUUUAGGUAGUGGUAAAAGGAGAGAGAAAGACUAGAGCAGUGGGUAGUGCAAGUACAACGGCCCUGUGACGGGAAAAAGCUGGGUGUGAUUUUACAACAGUGGUGUGCAUCUAUUUCUUAAAGGGCCUCAUAGUGAGAGUGUCUCUCUCCUUAACUCUGCCACUGUAGUGCCACAGAUAACACGCAGACACAAAGGCAUGAGUGUCUGUGUUCCAGUAAAGCUUUAUUUACAAAAACAGGUGGUGGGUUGGAUUUGACUGGCAGGUCAUAGUUUGCUGACCUUACUUGAGAACGUAAAGAGGCCUGCAAAGCUGCAGUAUGUCAAGUGAGGGUGAGAGGAGGUCAGAGGGGUAGGAACUAGGCCCUAGGGGCCUUGUAAGUCAUUCUCAGAGCAGUGGGAGGCCACUGAUAGAUUUUAAGCAGGAAAUAACAUGAUGUGAUUUUCAUUUUCAAAGAUGACUCUUGCUGCUAUGUGAAGAAGGGGUUCUGGGAGCAAGAGUGGAAGCCAGUGACAAGAUGUGUCAGGCAGCCAGUGGAAGUGCCCAGAUCACUCUCGCUGCUCUGUAAAGAGGGGGUUAUGGCGGCAAGAGCAGAUGUGAGAAGAUGUGUCAGACGGCCAGUGGAAGUGCCCAGGUGAGAGGUGGAGGUGCCCGGAGCUUCGGUGUGGCAGUGAAGAUGGCUGUGGAAGCUGAAGGACACUCUGCUGGGGAAAAAAAGGACUUGGCAGUUAACAAUCACCCAGGCUUCUCUUCCUUUUUCCCCCUUUAUGCUUAACUAUUGAAGCUACUGCAGAAAGACUUAAAAAUGAAAGAAGGUAUAUCCCCAAGAGAACUGGAGACCUACGCCCUCACAAAAACCUACAUACAUGUUCACAGCAGCAUUAUUCAAGCAGCCAAAAAGAGGAAACAACGUGCCCAUCUACUGAUGAAUAAGCUUACAUAAAAUGUGCUAUAUCCAUACCAUCGCACAUAAAAAGGAAGAAGGUUCUGACAUGCUACAAUGUGGAUGAACCUUGAAAACAUUAUGCAAACUAAAGAAUUCAGUUUCAAAGAUCACAUACUGUAUAAUUCCAUUUGUAUGAAAUGUCCGGAGCAGGCAAAUCUAGAGAGACAAAGUAGAAGAGUGGUUGCCUCGGGCUGGAUGGAAAUGGGUUGUGGUAAGUGGGCCAUGACUGCUAAAAGGUAUGGGGUUUCUUUUGGGGGUGAUGAAAAUAUUCUGGAAUUAUAUAGUGGCAAUGGUUGCACAACUCUGAAUAUACUAAAAACCAUUGGAUUGUACAUUUUAAAUGGGUAAAUUGUAUGUUGUAUGGCUAUCUUAAUAAACCAUUAAAAAAUGGAAGAAGGCUGCACUCACCAAAAGGAAUCACAAAGAAGACAGAAGCAUAUACAUAACUUUUGAUAGUUUAAAACAGUUCUGCCCCUGAGAUCAGGAGUCCUUUGUGUUGUCAGAGGGAAUGGUUGUUAGAAACAUGAUGAUCUCUUGCCCAUAUGAGCAGUGAAUUGGGACCUAGAGGACAGACCUUUAAGCCCUGGAUUCACCUGUCAAUGUAGGAAUCUCUCAAAUCCUGCUCUUCUAUAGGCAGAAGCCCCUUCCUUGCUGACAAAGCAGGGGGCAGAAGCCCAAGCAACGCAGCCCAUUCUGGUUUGUCUUCUGCAAGGGCCGUGUCAUGUUACAGCAGGGCCAGGACUCCGCCGCCUGGGCCUGUGUGGGGGACACUCACCAGUGAAAUGGCUUUGGACAGCCUUCAGCAGACCCACUGCACCUGCAGUCUGCUGGGGCCUGCAAGCCCCAGCUGUGGACAGGAGAGGUGGCUGGGCUGGCUGUUUGUGCAUUUUGAUUUAUAAAGGGCCUAGAUGAAAGUUAAUGGAGCAAAGGUUUAAGGACAGUGCUUGAGGCUUUGAGAACGAUAAAAGGGAAUGCAGACUCAGACGCCCACAUGCAGUUCUGGGGUAAUCCCCCCCACUCCUGCUGACCCAGAAGGCCAAGGGUUGAGUGUGACCUGGGAGAGACCCUCAUGCUCUGUGCCUUGUUCCCCCUUUUGUCUACCUGUACCUGAUGGAUAUCUCUGCUAUGCUGAAUGCAGGGGCUGGGCACACACAAUGGCAGCCCCUGUGGACAUGACUACAGUCAAGGGCUGGUCCCCAGGAACUCAUCUCUGCUCUGGCCUGGAAUGUGUUUACAGAUGCAGCCAGGACCCACGGAAUCAGGUGCAGCACCCACUGCCCAGACAAAAGUGAGGAAAAACUGUCACUGUGAACUAUGAGAGCAUCAGGGCCUUUUUCGAAGAUGGAUACAAUGAUGA